rnacentral:lncRNA from 1 species
GAAGAGAUAAGGGACAACCCCUUUGAACAAAAUGGUUAAAAAAAAUUCUUGAAAUCCAAAUGGCCAUUGGUGGUAUUUCUUAAUUUUGAAAAAACUAAUGGAAAAAAAAGUGCUUUGAAGAUGGUGCUUUUUUAUUUAUUAUUUAUAAAGAAGACAAGAAUACUAGACAUGCAACUACUCCAAUUAAUAAUGGAGUUCCCUUCUUUGGGAAAUAAUAAUGAAGAGGCUUUGGCCUUUGGUGAUGAGUGAGAUUUGUAGGGGCCGCUAAAUAUAGAAUAUUUCUACUCUGAUUUGGUUAUAUAAUAAAAGAACAGGAAAAUGAUCAAAUAUAUUCCUAUAAAUUUCAUUGAGUUAGCUCUACUUGAUCGAAUCAGCCAGCCUCUUUCGUUCCGUCCACGCUCCCUUUAGUAUUCAAAUUCCACUGAAAUUGGUGUGCUUGAACGCAAGGUAUAGCCAGAACUCUUUCGUAGGUAGCUCUCGAGGCAAUGACUUAAAACUAAUCUCCCGCAAGCAAGAAGCGGUUUUCGUUCGAUCAACGAACUCAAUCGUACUUUUACUACUGUAGACCGACGUUCAUAAAGCACACAACACAACAAAAUGAAG